rnacentral:rRNA from 1 species
GACAGAGGUGCCAAGCGUUAGGCGGAAUCACUGGGCUUAAAGCGUGUGUAGGCGGAUCGUUAAGUACCUUGUGAAAUCCCACGGCUCAACCGUGGAACUGCUGGGUAUACUGGCGAUCUUGAGCCACCUAGGGGCGAGCGGAACAAGCGGUGGAGCGGUGAAAUGCGUAGAUAUCGCUUGGAACGCCAAUGGUGAAAACAGCUCGCUGGGGUGUGCUGACGCUGAGACACGAAGCCAGGGGAGCGAACGGG